GAUGAACGCUGGCGGCGUGCCUAAUACAUGCAAGUCGAGCGAACAGAUGAGGAGCUUGCUCCUCUGACGUUAGCGGCGGACGGGUGAGUAACACGUGGAUAACCUACCUAUAAGACUGGGAUAACUUCGGGAAACCGGAGCUAAUACCGGAUAAUAUAUUGAACCGCAUGGUUCAAUAGUGAAAGACGGUUUUGCUGUCACUUAUAGAUGGAUCCGCGCCGCAUUAGCUAGUUGGUAAGGUAACGGCUUACCAAGGCAACGAUGCGUAGCCGACCUGAGAGGGUGAUCGGCCACACUGGAACUGAGACACGGUCCAGACUCCUACGGGAGGCAGCAGUAGGGAAUCUUCCGCAAUGGGCGAAAGCCUGACGGAGCAACGCCGCGUGAGUCAUGAAGGUCUUCGGAUCGUAAAACUCUGUUAUUAGGGAAGAACAAAUGUGUAAGUAACUAUGCACGUCUUGACGGUACCUAAUCAGAAAGCCACGGCUAACUACGUG
rnacentral:rRNA from 1 species